rnacentral:rRNA from 1 species
AUGUACCUGCCAUCAACGUCGUACACAGGUUGUUACGGUGGAACCACAUCGGCAAACGUCGCAUGGCAAGCUUCACAGUUGAAGGAAAGUGCUAUUGCAGAUAGAGCACAUCAAAUUGGAAUGACAGACCACACAAGAUCGGCACAUGUGACACAACAAGACGUUGGUUGCCAUGUGUUGGCAACAGUAGUUGCCAUGUGUGUUGGACUAUAUCUUCCAUUGCUAUAUCCUACAAGUUCUGAUGCUAAAAGACGCUGGUUGCCAUGUGUUGGCAAUGGACCUUCAACUACAAUUAGCAGUGGCGCGGGGACAUCUACUGCGGGGAGCUCUGAUCGCACAGAAGAUGCGUUCCACCAGCCAGCCAACACUCAUGCCACAAACAAUGCCGAGUCAGUGUCGGAAAUGGCAAUCGUGCCAGCAAUACCGACAAGCACACCUAUGCACACCAGCACAAGCAACACUCAAGCAGAUGAAAUAGCCGCCGAUGAUGAAACCGAUGACGAAGCACAAGGGGAUGAAGAUGAUGCAAAGGAAUUCUACCAGACAUAUGCAAAGUUCCAUGGGUUUGCGGUCAACAGCGAAUACCAUAGGAAAAUUAAAAAAACUAACGAGUACAGCAGAGGUGAGAUGAGGUGCUACAAGGCACGAAGAAACAAGAAGGGCAAAGGUGAUACGCCUAUCGUUCCGGAACGAAAGAGAGGUAUCAUUGUCAAGACGGAAUGCCCUGUCCGGUGUAAGCUGAAUGUAGAUGGAGCACAGUGGGUGGUCACUAAAUAUUUUGACGAGCACAACCACGAGCUAAUAAAGAAGUUUGACCUGGUAAAAUUUCUGACCGCCCACAGAGGAUUCACCCCCCUCGAGAAGAAAUUCAUAAAGCUGCUACAUGAUUGUAACAUCGGUCCAUCAAGAAUGGUGCAGAUACUCUCCCUCAUCCAUAGCAAAAAGGGGUCUCUGAGUAGCAUGCCCUACCUACCAGCAGAUGUCACAAACCUAAAGGCAAAGUGUUCUAUCCUGGGCAUGUCAGAUUCAGAACCUGAAGACCCGGACAAGGGAAGGAACUACUUUGUGAAGGCAUUGAUAAGCGAAGGCGAAUACUACUGCCAAUGCUGCAAAUUCGAACGGGACGGUAUUGUGUGCUGUCACAUUCUAAAAGUAAUGGACAUGAACGCGGUGACACGAAUGCCCCGCCAUUUCAUAAGGCGGCGAUGGACUUGGUACGCUGACGAUGCAUUGGCGCCGCAAACAUCAAACGCAGUUUUGGCCGUGCAUGACGAGAGACCAGAGUCAACCAUGGAAGCCGUGAGGCACGUUGUGUUGACAAAGAACUAUGUUGAACUAAUUGAUGAAGCGUGCAAGAGUGAUGAGACAGCAAGGGUCGCAGAAAAACACAGGAAGUCCCUCAAACGAGAGCUUGAUGAGAUCAAGAAGAGGAAAGCUGAGGAAGCCUUACACAGGUUCCCCCGCACAUCAAGUGUGCCUUCGUCCACGGGGCCAUCAUCUGAAAACUCGAAGGUAGGAUCUGGAACAGCAAGCACACAAACACAGGUUAGGAACCCGCCCCAUUCCAUCACAAAAGGGCGUCCAAAAGAGAUAAGAUACAAAUCGGGAUUGGAGAUUCAAGCAAAACACAAGAAACCAAAGAAAGGGACGGCAAUCAAUAAACAACAUUGGAGCACUGUGACUUGGUCCAUGGUGACAUUUUUUGUAAUCUAG